CAACAGCAGCAAGGUGGAUUUUUGGGUUCGGGUUUAUGUUUUUCGGUUCAGAUUCAUAUUUUUUGUCGGGUUUGGGCUUCAAAUUUUUUGUUGUAUUCGGAUUUUAAUUUGAUUUUUAAAAUUCCCUCGGAUUCAGAUUUGGGUUCAAAUUUUGAGUUUGGUAGUUGGAUUCGGAUUCGAAUUUUUCAAAAUUCGCCCCAAAUUCGAUGAGUUGACUUCCCUAAAGUGGAUCCCACCCCUAUCAAUGAACUGUGGUGAUGCCAUAUAGAGUUAUAGAUAGGCUUGUGACUUUCAAAGCUUACUCGCAACCUGCUGGGCAUAUCAACCUUUUGAUAUUUAAAUCCACUAACUGAUUUAGGUUCUUUAAUUAAGUCCACUAAGUUAAGAUUAAAGACAAUCUAGGUUUUGGAUCUCCGAAUCCACUAACUAUUGAAUUGUGUGCAAUCAAAUCCAUCUUGUGACGGGAAUCUAAACCAAGUGGAUUUAUCAAGCACUUGUGGGCUUGUUCAAUGACCCUGCAAAUGGACUGAAAUAGCAAUUUGGCCAAUCAGAAUAAUUCUUUUGGAAACUAGUUUAACUUGUCUUGUUGGUUUCUUCUAUAAGAACUUCUGUUACGUAUUGCUUACAUCAGUUACUUGAUGCAGCUUUGAGGAGAUGCCAACUAACAACUUUGUUGAAAGCAGAUUUAUAAGAGGUGGUGGCGAGAAAAAUUUUGGUAGUAUUUUGACGAUGUAUUGAAUCAAGUUUAAGUAAACUUAGACAUAUUUUGAAAACUUUAUAUUUGAUAGCAUGUGGAAAUGACAAAAAUACUAUUAUUGUGUUUUGUUUUUUGGUUGCGUUGGGUGUAUUAGGUGACAAUGCAAUGAUACUCUAACAUUUAAAGUUUGAUUUAGUUGAUUCAGUCUUUUUUAUUUGCCUUA